GUCGUGUUCGCGGUCGUGGCGAUUCCUCCGAUUGGGCCGCUACCCUGGAGCUAUAUAAAUCGCGCCGCCACGGGAGCCGCGUGCCACACCAAUCGCCGCGCCUCCCCAAAACCCUAGGUCUCCUCUGUUCACCAUGGUAAUUGCUGGUGCGCCGCCGCCACACCAUUGCGCCUCUCAACUUUGCUCCACCCCCGAUACUAGGUCUAGGAGUGCGGCAAGGACCUCGUGGGUGUGUGCGUCAAGAAUCAGGUCGGUUGGGCGCUCCAGGAAUCGGCGAUUGCUCGUCGGAGUUCGUUUCCCCUAGUCAAGUUGUUGGACACCAUGGACAGCUCGGGUCGACACCCUAAUUCAUGCGUGAGGUCACGAGGAUCUGAA
rnacentral:lncRNA from 7 species